GCUUCUGUGGCUCAGUUGGUAGAGCAACGCAUUCGUAAUGCGUGGGUCGUGGGUUCGAAUCCCAUCGGAAGCU
rnacentral:tRNA from 1 species